rnacentral:rRNA from 1 species
AUUGAACGCUGGCGGAAUGCUUUACACAUGCAAGUCGAACGGUAGAGGGGGCAACCCCUCGAGAGUGGCGAACGGGUGAGUAAUAUAUCGGAACGUGCCCAGUCGUGGGGGAUAACGUAGCGAAAGUUACGCUAAUACCGCAUACGAUCUAAGGAUGAAAGCGGGGGACCGUAAGGCCUCGCGCGAUUGGAGCGGCCGAUAUCAGAUUAGGUAGUUGGUGAGGUAAAGGCUCACCAAGGCGACGAUCCCUAGCUGGUUUGAGAGGAUGAUCAGCCACACUGGAACUGAGACACGGUCCAGACUCCUACGGGAGGCAGCAGUGGGGAAUAUUGGACAAUGGGCGCAAGCCUGAUCCAGCCAUGCCGCGUGUGUGAAGAAGGCCUUCGGGUUGUAAAGCACUUUUGUCCGGAAAGAAAUCCAAUCGAUUAAUACUCGGUUGGGAUGACGGUACCGGAAGAAUAAGCACCGGCUAACUUCGUGCCAGCAGCCGCGGUAA